rnacentral:lncRNA from 1 species
CAAGCUGAGUUUCAUUCAUCUUCUACUCCAUUUCUUCUUUGUUUUCUUAUGCUUGAUUGAUCAUUGGUGAAGAUCCUUCCAUCCAGGACCUUAAAAUUGUUAUCAGAGCUCAAACUGGUGUCAAUCAAGUGUGUUUAUUCAGUUUUCUGAUUCACGGUUGUGUUCUUCACGUUCUCGGUCUCUUGAAGCUUGUUUUUGCUCGAGUUUUAUAGAUCCAAUCACAGUUUGCAUCAUGUGGAAUAAAGAUCUGCUUGGAUUUCAGCUUUUAAGUUGAAAUCUUAUUGUUUUCGGUUUGAUCUUCAUCAACCGAAAACAUAUCCUCAAUUGAUUUCUGCUCAGAUCUAAGCUAUUUGGAAGCUGUAUUUGAGGUUUCAAGUGUGUGGAAAUCAAAAUCGGAUCGAAAAUUUAUGUUUUUCAUUAAAAACUGUUAGCCUUCGUUUCAAUCUUCAGAAACCGAAAACUGUUCUUCAACCGAAAUCUCUUGAAUCUUGAGAACCCGAAAACUGUUUUCUGUCCUUGUUUGUGUAUACAGCUGUCAGGUUUUCAGGAUAGAACAAUGGUUGUCCUUUUGCUGGUUUUCGGUCGGUGAGUUGUAUCAGACGGUUUCAAGUGUUUAAUCAUAUGCAAGCUCAGUUUCAUUCAUCUUCUACUCCAUUUCUUCUUUGUUUUCUUAUGCUUGAUUGAUCAUUGGUGAAGAUCCUUCCAUCCAGGACCUUACAAUAGAUGGUUUGGGCUAGGCAUCUACGUAUGGAUGCGUUUGGGCAUUUGUCAAUGUAUUUUGGAUUCGUUUUGUGUAUGUUUGAAGUUUUCGGUCUAGGAAGCUUUUGGUUAAGGUGUGACCGAAAACCAGUUUUCGGUCUGCUGAUGGAAAACUGUUUUUGGUCCUUUUCAGUAUAUAUAGGUGUCAGGUUGUCAGGAUGGAACAACAGUUGUACUUUUGCUAGUUUUCGGUCCCUGGGUUGUAUCAGACAGGUUCAAGUGUUUAAUCGUAUGCGAUGUCAGUUUCAUUAAUCUUCUAUUCCAUUUCUUCUUUGUUUUCUUAUGCUUGAUUGAUCAUUAGGGAAGAUCCUUCCGUCCAGGACCUUAAUAUUGGUAUCAGAGCACGAACUGGUGUCAAUCAAGUGUGUUAAUUCAGUUUUCUGCAUCACGAUUGUGUUCUUCACGUUCUCGGUCUCUUGAAGCUUGUUUUUGCUCGAGUUUUGAAGAUCAGAUCACAGUUUGCAUCAUGUGGAAUAGAGAUCUGCUUGGAUUUCAGCUUUUUAGUUGAAAUCUUAUUGUUUUUGGUUUGAUCUUCAUCAACCGAAAACAUAUCUUCAAUUGAUUUCUACUCAGAUCUAAGCUAUUUGGAAGUUGUGUUUGAGGUUUUCAAGUGUGUGGAAAUCAAAAUCAGAUCGAAAAUUUAUGUUUUUCAUCAAAAACUGUUCGCUUUCGGUUCAAUCUUCAGAAACUAAAAACAAUUCUUCAACGAAAAUCUCUUGAAUCUUCAGAAACCUAAAAUUGUUUUCUGUCCAUGUCAGUAUAUAUAGGCGUCAGGUCGUCAGGAUAGAACAACAUUUGUGCUUUUGCUAGUUUUCGGUCCGUGAGUUGUAUCAGACGGUUUCAAGUGUUUAAUCGUAUGCAAGCUCAGUUUCAUUCAUCUUCUACUCCAUUUCUUCUUUGUUUUCUUAUGCUUGAUUGAUCAUUGGUGAGGAUCAUUGUGUCCACGACCUUACAAACGGUAUCAGAGCUCAAACUGGUGUAAAUCAAGUGUGUUAAUUCAGUUUUCUGCUUAAUGGUUGUGUUCUUCAUGUUCUCGGUCUCUAGAUGCUUGUUUUUGCUCGAGUUUUGAACAUCAGAUCACAGUUUGCAUCAUGUGGAAUAGAGAUCUGCUUUGAUUUCAGCUUUUCAGUUGAAAUCUUAUUGUUUUCGAUUUGAUCUUCAUCAACUAAAAACAUAUCUUCAAUUGACUUAUGCUUAGAUCUAAGCUAUUUGGAAGCUGUGUUUGAGGUUUCAAGUGUGCGGAAAUCAAAAUCGGAUCGAAAAUUUAUGUUUUUCAUUAAAAACUGUUAGCUUUCGUUUCAAUCUUCAGAAACCGAAAACUGUUCUUCAACCGAAAUCUCUUAAAUCUUGAGAACCCGAAAACGGUUUUCUAUCCUUGUUUGUGUAUACAGCUGUCAGGUUGUCAGGAUAGAACAAUGGUUGUCCUUUUGCUAGUUUUCGGUCGGUGAGUUGUAUCAGACGGUUUCAAGUGUUUAAUCGUAUGCAAGCUUAGCUUCAUUCAUCUUCUACUCCAUUUCUUCUUUGUUUUCUUAUGCUUGAUUGAUCAUUGGUGAAGAUCCUUCCAUCCAGGACCUUACAAUAUAUGGUUUGGGAUACGCAUCAAUGUAUGGAUGAGUUUGGGCAUUUUUCAAUGUAUUUUGGAGUCGCUUUGUGUAUGUUUGAUGUUUUCCGUCUUGGAAGCUUUUGGUUAAGGUGUGACCGAAAACCAGUUUUCGGUCUGCUAACCGAAAACUAUUUUUGGUCGUUAUCGGUAUAUAUAUGUGUCAGGUUGUCAAGAUGGUACAACAGUUGUAAUUUUGCUAGUUUCGGUCCCUGAGUUGUAUCAGACGGUUUCAAGUGUUUAAUCGUAUGCAAGCUAAGUUUCAUUCAUCUUCUACNUUGUCAGUAUAUAUAGGCGUCAGGUCGUCAGGAUAGAACAACAUUUGUCCUUUUGCUAGUUUUCGGUCCGUGAGUUGUAUCAGACGGUUUCAAGUGUUUAAUCGUAUGCAAGCUCAGUUUCAUUCAUCUUCUACUCCAUUUCUUCUUUGUUUUCUUAUGCUUGAUUGAUCAUUGGUGAGGAUCAUUGUGUCCACGACCUUACAAACGGUAUCAGAGCUCAAACUGGUGUAAAUCAAGUGUGUUAAUUCAGUUUUCUGCUUAAUGGUUGUGUUCUUCAUGUUCUCGGUCUCUAGAUGCUUGUUUUUGCUCGAGUUUUGAACAUCAGAUCACAGUUUGCAUCAUGUGGAAUAGAGAUCUGCUUUGAUUUCAGCUUUUCAGUUGAAAUCUUAUUGUUUUCGAUUUGAUCUUCAUCAACUAAAAACAUAUCUUCAAUUGACUUAUGCUUAGAUCUAAGCUAUUUGGAAGCUGUGUUUGAGGUUUCAAGUGUGUGGAAAUCAAAAUCGGAUCGAAAAUUUAUGUUUUUCAUUCAAAACUGUUAGCUUUCGUUUCAAUCUUCAGAAACCGAAAACUGUUCUUCAACCGAAAUCUCUUAAAUCUUGAGAACCCGAAAACGGUUUUAUAUCCUUGUUUGUAUAUAUAGCUGUCAGGUUGUCAGGAUAGAACAAUGGUAGUCCUUUUGCUAGUUUUCGGUCAGUGAGUUGUUUUAGACGGUUUCAAGUGUUUAAUCGUAUGCAAGCUUACUUUCAUUCAUCUUCUACUCCAUUUCUUCUUUGUUUUCUUAUGCUUGAUUGAUCAUUGGUGAAGAUCCUUCCAUCCAGGACCUUACAAUAUGUGGUUUGGGAUACGCAUCAAUGUAUGGAUGAGUUUGGGCAUUUUUCAAUGUAUUUUGGAGUCGUUUUGUGUAUGUUUGAUGUUUUCCGUCUUGGAAGCUUUUGGUUAAGGUGUGACCGAAAACCAGUUUUCGGUCUGCUAACCGAAAACUGUUUUUGGUCGUUAUCGGUAUAUAUAUGUGUCAGGUUGUCAAGAUGGUACAACAGUUGUAAUUUUGCUUCAGGUUUGUGUUCUCCACGUUCUCGGUCUCUUGAAGCUUGUUUUUGUUCGAGUUUUGAAGAUC